rnacentral:tRNA from 1 species
GCCUGGCUGGCUCAGUUGAUAGAGCAUUUGACUGUUGAUCUCACAAUUCUGAGUUUGAGCCUCAUGCUGGGUG